GACAUCCAGCGAACUUGGCAGAGAUGCCUUGGUGCCUUCGGGAACGCUGAGACAGGUGCUGCAUGGCUGUCGUCAGCUCGUGUUGUGAAAUGUUGGGUUAAGUCCGCAACGAGCGCAACCCUUUAUCCUUUUGUUGCCAGCGAUUCGGUCGGGAACUCAAAGGAGACUGCCGGUGAUAAACCGGAGGAAGGUGGGGAUGACGUCAAGUCAUCAUGGCCCUUACGAGUAGGGCUACACACGUGCUACAAUGGCGCAUACAAAAAGAAGCGACCUCGCGAGAGCAAGCGGACCUCAUAAAGUGCGUCGUAGUCCGGAUCGGAGUCUGCAACUCGACUCCGUGAAGUCGGAAUCGCUAGUAAUCGUGGAUCAGAAUGCCACGGUGAAUACGUUCCCGGGCCUUGUACACACCGCCCGUCACACCAUGGGAGUGGGUUGCAAAAGAAGUAGGUAGCUUAACCUUCGGGAGGGCGCUUACCACUUUGUGAUUCAUGACUGGGGUGAAGUCGUAACAAGGUAAGCGUAGCGAG
rnacentral:rRNA from 1 species